rnacentral:rRNA from 1 species
GACGAACGCUGGCGGCGUGCUUAACACAUGCAAGUCGAACGGUGACCUCGAGAGCUUGCUCUUGGGUGAACAGUGGCGAACGGGUGAGUAACACGUGAGUAACCUGCCCCUGACUCUGGAAUAAGCGCUGGAAACGGCGUCUAAUACCGGAUAUGACACACCCUCGCAUGGGGAGUGUGUGGAAAGUUUUUCGGUCUGGGAUGGACUCGCGGCCUAUCAGCUUGUUGGUGAGGUAAUGGCUCACCAAGGCGAUGACGGGUAGCCGGCCUGAGAGGGCGCCCGGCCACACUGGGACUGAGACACGGCCCAGACUCCUACGGGAGGCAGCAGUGGGGAAUAUUGCACAAUGGGCGAAAGCCUGAUGCAGCGACGCCGCGUGAGGGAUGACGGCCUUCGGGUUGUAAACCUCUUUCAGCAGGGAAGAAGCGCAAGUGACGGUACCUGCAGAAGAAGCACCGGCUAACUACGUGCCAGCAGCCGCCGUAACAC